AUCUGGUCAGCAUGGAUGAGUCAGACCGAAGGGCCCGUUUCCAUGCUGUAUGACUCUGAGUAUCACAAAUGGUUGAAUUCAGUAAAAACAAAUUUAAAGCCUGCUGGGAAAGUCAUCACAAACAUCAUCAACCAACACCUGUAUGAUUAAUGAUAACGCAACUCUUAGAAUUGUCUUUGAACCAUUCGUGUGGUGAUGGAUUGCAAGAUUUCGCUGGUAGAUAAACUAAGAUGGGCCAUUCUCCUCCCCCUGCCCCAGCUCCCCUAUUUCCAUGGUCUUAACAAAAUGACAGAGAUUGAGCAAUUUCAGAAAAUAUGGAAAUCAUUCCUAUAAUUUCCAGAUGGAAAUCAUCUAAGCUGCUUAAUUAGAGUUGUAAUGAUGUUUCUCACACAAUAAUAAAAUUGCCAGAGAGAUACCUAACAUUGUAUGCAGCUCAGUGGAAUUGGUUAAGGGUUAUUUGCUGUCAACAAAUCUCCUUUGUCCUUGGACUACGUCAUGAUUAGUUGUGGAGGAUAUGCCACUGUUGAGUUUGUGCAGAAGAGGCACUGUUCUUAGGUAGCAAUGUUUAUGGACUGAUGUCAAUAAGAACACUUGAGCCUUAUUAUACACGGAUCCGCCUACUCGCCAGGUUGGCCGGCUAAUGCGUUUUUCUCCCCUUUGACAGGUCCCAAUGGAUGAUGCAGUACCUCCAGGUCUAUCAGGAUAGAUAGGGGAUUAUCUGCAGGUUUAUGUUUUUCUGCAGGAGUCCUAUGCCUAGAUUUCCCCCACAGAUAAUGCAGAUUAGGAAUACAGUAAUAUUUGGUAAGGCAUAAUUGAGAACCUUGGGGAGCUGGUACAGAUACAUCAGUUUCUUCUGAAAGCCAGAAUAGAAUUCCUUGUCUGUAGGUAGAGACUGUGUGUGACAUAAGGAAAAUGGGUGGAGCCAGUAUAAUGUACACAUUAAACUCUUCAGAACUAGUAUAUUGUUGUACAAGGUAAACUUUAAAUACCAAGCAUCUGUACUCUGUUAAUCCUUGAUAGAUUGAGAGACCCAUUUCUCCAAAUGAGAGGAUUUGUAAGCAGCUACGAAUUUGCACUGGACUUGUGGCACAGUGGGUAGUACCUCUACCUCUGAGCCUGAAGCACUGGGUUGAUUCACACCCAGAACUUGGUGAUCAUAAUGCAGCCAAACAAAUUGAUAAUCAAUUUGCAAAUCUUGCCAACAUACCAACAGCAGGUAGUAAGAGCUGAAUAGAUUCGUGGUCAGCCACGUGAUGAUGGAAAGAACAUUGGAACCUCCAGCAUUGUUAUCCAGACUGCAACAUGCAGGUUUUAAAAAGUGCAUGUUACCAGAGCAACAUGAAUGCCCUUAGUGAACUGAAACACAAAUUAAUCUGGAAUGAUUAUCUGGAUUAUACAGGAAAGUAAUCUGAAUUAAUUGUACCUCUUUAGAAUAUUUACCUGCAGGUUGUACUUGAGCUAAAAAGUUACAGGAGCAGAUCAGAAAAGCAACAAAACUUAUAUUUGUGUAGCUCCUUGAAUGUAAUACAUAGCCCCGUGCUGCUCUACAGGCACAUCAUAAAACAAAAUUUAACACUGAACCCCUUAGGGAGAUCUUGGGGAAGGGGACCAAAUGUUUUCCUCUUGGGUUUAAAGAGCUUUGUAAGGGAGGAUAGUGGUUUAGGGAGGCAAUCCCAGAGAUUAUAACCCAAGAAAGUGAGGCUGCCACUGAUGAAGCAGUUAAAGUUGGGGUUAUUUGGAAUAUUAACAAUUUUUGCAGCUGGAGGAGAUUAUAAAGAGGUAGGGAAGGAUGAGGCCUUGGGAAAAUUGUUGAACUGGCAUGAAAGCUUUAAGGUCAAACUUUUGGGAUGUAGAAUUUAAACUAAAGAUCAGCUUUAGCAGCUAGAUGUCAGAUCAGGGAUAAUCUAUCAGCAACAGUAACCAGGAUUCAUUUUGUCAUAGUUGCACUUCUCUCACAGCCCCAUCACAUUAUUUUUGCACAAACGGAAACAAAAACAACUUCGAAAGAAAAAUAAUAUGGGAUGAAAGUUAAACUAAAAGUUCAUCAGAUUGUUCUAUUUUUAUGUUUACGUGGUAAAUGAAUUUUUAAUCCUGUCGACCUUGUUGAUCACUACUUUGGCCGUUGUUGAAUGUGAGCAAGUCCAGGUACGCUGUCAACAAGUUGAAUCAUGACCACAACAGAUGGAAGCCUGCUCUCAACUGAGAUGAACAAUGAAGAUGCACUGUACGAGCAGCUUCUACUGCAGGCUGCAAAGGAGAUGCAGAAUCAACUUCCGACAGCACAGGAAUCCAAGCAGAUCAGACCACAGCCAGGCUUCUGUGUGAAGACAAAGAUGAAGACCAACGAGAAGGUUUUCAUCAAUGUUUGCAAGUCUGAUCAAAUUCCACCUCCACCAGAUCUCUCUGAGGAGGGCUUGGUCUCCCUGCUGGAAUCAGAUGAUCCUUCUGGAUACAGGAUUCCCAUGAGCCUCGGUGAACCACAUGCUGAAAUUGACAACAGUGGUAAUGGAUGCACUGCAUAUGACAUAGUCAUCAAUUCAAAAUUUUACAACAAAAUUCAGAACAACAAACUCUUCAUGGAAUUCUUCCUGACUAUCGGCUUUGAGGGGCUGGAAAACAAAUACAAUUUGGAACUUUCGCGAGAGUGGCGGAUGCUGAAGAACAGGAAAUUUCUGGGAUCUAUAACAGAACAAAACAUCAGAACAAAAUCAAAACCUGUUAUCCAGGAACUGGAAUCCAGCACUUCAUCUCCGGGAACCUGCAAUAAACCCCUUCUAUCAGAAAUAGAAAGUACCUGUGUGGAGCCAGAAUAUACAAUCGUGGCUGAGCCUGCAGAUGAGCACCCCAGCUUCCUGGUAGCAGAAAUCUCCUUACCAAAAGUGGAUUCAGCAGGAUCAUUACUACUCGACCUUGGAGAAGACCGGAUUGUGUUGUGGGCACGGCCAGAUCUUUAUCACUUAGAUAUUUACAUCCCGUACAACAUUGUUCAGGAGAAAAGUGGCUCUCAAUUCAACAGGAAAACCAGGGUUCUGACCAUAACGAUGCCAGUGCAGCCAGCCUAAGACCAGAAUUGCUUCCAGGACGAACAAUGUUCGCACAAACUGAAUAACCGGAACUUCUGCUCGUUCCCAGCAUGGCAGUUAAGAGCUGCUGAAAUUACAGCACUUGAGCUGUGAACACUUAGGAUGAGAAUUCUAACGCAUCACUGAGAGAGACCUUUCAGCAUUUCGAUUGCUGGGUGAAUCUGCAUUUCAGCAGCUUAAGGUAAGUGUCAAUUUUAUUUGUGUCUCGCCGGAAGCAGUGCAGGAGAUUGUACAGUUGCAACAUUAUUGAGUCUCCAUCUUCAGCUAAACGGUGUUCCCAUGGCACUGUCUGCUCAAUGGCUCCACCAAGCUGUCCAAUCUGAAAUGCAAAUGAGAAAUGUUUGCUGAUAAGUACAAUACUAGUGACUAUUCUUAUGCCUGCUUAGCUCAGUUGGCUGAGCAACUGGCGAAUGAUGCCAACAAGCAUAUGUUCAAUUCCUGUAGUGUCUGAGGUCUCCAUGAAUGUCCUGCCUUCUCAACCUCACCCCACACCUGAGACAUGGUGACCCUUGGGUUAAAUUCACCCCUAGUCAUCUCUCUCUCAUGAGAGUGGGACUAUGAUUCCUUUACCCUUGAUUGCUAGCCUCACCUAUUCCAGGCCCAGCAAUGCCCCAUUUUAAAAUUCACAUCCUUGAUUUCAAAUCCCACCCCCCUGCAACACUGCCCCUUCCGUCUCUCUGUGAUCUCCUCCAGCCCUGCAAAGAUCUCUGUAUUCCUCUGUUGCUAUUGCCCCACUGGUCACCCCUGUUGAGGCCCCCAAGCUCCAGAAUUCACUCCUGAGACCUCAUUAGCUCUUCAAGUCAAACCUUAAAAUCUUUCUCUUUGAUCACGCUAUUGGCCAACAUUCCUUAAUAUCUCCAUACUGCAAUGUCAGAUUUUGUCUGGUGGAGCUCCCAUGAAAUACACUGGGAAGUUUCACUAUGUUAAGGGCAUGGUAUUGAAGCCUUAAGGGAAUUCUGGAAGUGGAAUUAGAACUAGGUCAGGCAGACUCCCAAUCCUCUCUGUGGUCAACUAACCUUCUGCUGCUCACUGUCUAUUCUGAUAUCUGUGGAACCCUGACAAGUGAUUGUGAAUUCGAACCAGAACAGAGAAAAUAGCAUAACAGAACAUGCCAUUUUAUGGGGUGGUGAGUCCCUGUAACUAAUAAUUUAUAUAACAGUGGAGUAGCAGUGGUUUAAAGUUAAAUCCAAUGGUCCAGUACUCCAGACCCCAGACUAGAUAUGGAGUUGAAUCCCGUCAAGGUAGCUGAUGAAAUUUAUAUUUGAGGUUGUUGACUUGCUCGCUGAGCUGGAUUGUUUUUGCUUAGACAUUUCGUCACCAUGCCAGGUGAUAUCAUCAGU